rfam:Triticum aestivum genome assembly, contig: Triticum_aestivum_CS42_TGACv1_scaffold_329032_4BS
AUAGUACUCCCUCCGUCCGAAAAUACUUGUAAUCAAAAUGGAUAAAAAAAAAUGUAUCUAGAAACUAAAAUACAUCUAAAUACAUCCUCUUUUAUCCAUUUUGAUGACAAGUAUUUCCGGACGGAGGGAGUAUCGG